AGCGAACGCUGGCGGCAGGCUUAACACAUGCCAGUCGAACGGGCAUAGCAAUAUGUCAGUGGCAGACGGGUGAGUAACGCGUGGGAACGUACCUUUUGGUUCGGAACAACACAGGGAAACUUGUGCUAAUACCGGAUAAGCCCUUACGGGGAAAGAUUUAUCGCCGAAAGAUCGGCCCGCGUCUGAUUAGCUAGUUGGUAGGGUAAUGGCCUACCAAGGCGACGAUCAGUAGCUGGUCUGAGAGGAUGAUCAGCCACAUUGGGACUGAGACACGGCCCAAACUCCUACGGGAGGCAGCAGUGGGGAAUAUUGGGCAAUGGGCGAAAGCCUGAUCCAGCCAUGCCGCGUGAGUGAUGAAGGCCCUAGGGUUGUAAAGCUCUUUUGUGCGGGAAGAUAAUGACGGUACCGCAAGAAUAAGCCCCGGCUAACUUCGUG
rnacentral:rRNA from 1 species